ACGUGCAGAAGAAGCACCGGCUAACUCCGUGCCAGCAGCCGCGGUAAUACGGAGGGUGCGAGCGUUAAUCGGAAUUACUGGGCGUAAAGACGCAUGCAGGCGGUUUGUUAAGUUACAGAUGUGAAGACCGGGCGUCAACCUCGGAAUUGCAUUUGAAACUAGGCAGACUAGAGUACUGUAGAGGGGGGUAGGAAUUUCAGGUGUAGCGGUGAAAUAGCGUAGAGAUCUGAAGGAAUACCGGUGGCGGAAGGACGGCCCCCGUCCGGACGAGAAUACUGACACUCAGAUGCGAAAGCGUGGGGAGCAAACAGGAUUAGAUACCCUGGUAG
rnacentral:rRNA from 1 species